GAGGCGGGGGCCACCGGUGGGGGCGGCGUUCGGAGCGCCGUUCGGGGCGGAGCCCGGCCCGGAUCCCGGCCGCUCCGC
rnacentral:tRNA from 1 species